UCUGUCUCCCUCUCUCUCUGCCUCUCUCCUGCUUGUGCUCUGUCUCUGUCUCUCUCAAAUAUAUAUAAACAUUUUUUUUAAGUUGUAUUUUAAUAACUCAGUGCUUCUCAAAUUUUAAUGUGCACCUAAGAUUCUGGGUUUUUAAUAAGAUUCCAGGUGAUGCGGUCCCUUAGGUCUGUAGGUCCUUAGAGUAACACUUCAGGUAGCAAGGAUAUGUAUAUUUUAUUGUUUCCAAAAUGUUCUCGAGUUUCUUACAAAGUGGUGUAUGCCUAAAAGAAGUGUCUUGACAGUGCCGGAGGGUAAGGCUUGGGAGCAGAUUGUGGGAAGCCGUCUAUCAAAACUCAGCUUCUAAGUUGAGUGAGGAGAAAGUAAAGGUGAAGAAUCUGCCCGAUGGCAAAUGGUGACAAAUGUUUAAGGAUGAACAGAAAACAGUGUUAUCAGAGCCCCUCACCCCAGGACAGGGUCCACUGGGAAGACGUCACAACCAGCAACACUUCUUGGUAGAAGAGAUCUAGGACUGGUUAGAGAACAACAUGUUCAGAAGCUGUUUUCCUACAGGCUUAUUUGCCACUUCCUGGGUUUAUAGUGUGGUCCAAAGGUCUUAAACAGUGGGACAGAACCAGGUUUACUAACUAUUCCUUUUGGUUUGGCUUGAAACUAUAAUAUGACUAGCCUUUCCCCUUCGAGAAGCUUUGAGGAUGAGAGGAGGAUUUGGCCAGAACCUACAAGAACAGAUGAAAAUUGUAGUUCUGAGUCCUGAGAUUUCUUACCUCUGGUUGGGAGAGGCCACCAUUGGCUGUCCAACUCUCUUCUUCGUUCUGGUUAGCUGAGGUGAUAGGAUUUCCCCUUUGAGAGCAGGGACUGAAGGAAGCAGACUGGCCUAUAAAAGGGCAAGUCAGCACACUGUAGCCACAAUAGGUUUAAAGGGUCUUAAAACAUCAAUGAUUUUAUUGGUGGUCGAAUUUUAUUACAUUAAAUACUACUUGCAAUAAGUGGGUCCAGAAACCUUGAUGAUAUAGUUUUACUCCUUGAAAGAGCUGUUAUUCUCAUUCUGAUGGGGUUUGAUCUAUGCCUCAGCAGGACAUUUCUUAAUGAUUUGAAGUCUCACUAUGAAUGUGCAAGGUUUUCUUCUGCCUCUGUUAAAAUCUCAAAAUCAGUACUGUUCCCCACAAUAGCAGGCUUCUGAUUCCAUGUGAGAACCAGUGGUAGUGGCUCUCAAACCUCAGUAAUGUAAACAUUCUAUUCGUUUCCAGUAUUCCCAUACCAUAUAUCCAUUUCACAAGAAAAAGAAGUGUUAGCACUGAGAGACACUUUUGAGUUCAUUUACGUUCAAUUUUAUUUUUAGAUGAGGAAAGUGAAGCCCAGAAAUGAAAAAGGACUUGCCUAAGGUCAUAGAGCUUCAAGCGGCAGAAAUGAAAACAGAAUUUAGGCCUCUCUUAUUCCACUGCACCCAUGCUGCCUCCCCCCAAAUCCCUUGUAUAUUUUGAAAGUAAUUAAAUUCUUACCUGAGCUAGGUUUAAUCCAAGGUUCAGGUUGGUAAAAUAGCAGUAAAGUAAUGCCAGGAAGAGGCAAGACAGAGGAAGAAGAGAUUAUAGCAGGCAAAAUGGGUUGGGGAGGAGGGAUCCAAAUAGAAAAGAACGCAGUGCUGGUAGGAGGGCAGGGAGGAGGGUAUCCUGAGUAACUACUACCAACUGCACAGCUCCUGUUUCUUCCUAAUCCUCCUAGGGGUUUCUCAUAAUUGUCCCCUCUACUCAUGGAUUAUAGUUCCUGACCUGAGAUAAAAUUUCUUAUCCUGUUAUACUCAAGGUGCAGAAGACAGGGUUAAGGGCUCUCCCAGAUAAUUCAAAUGCAUUGUAGAUUGUUAAGAUAGGAAAAACAUUUUUGUCCCACUGAAUAAUUUACUUAAUAUUAUCUGUCACUAGUAUAUGUUUCACCAAGAGUAGUUUCAUUCAUUUUACUAUUAGGUGAUUUUUGUUGUUGUUGUUAGUGGUAAAUACAAAUAGCAAGGUGUACAGGUGACCCAAGGGGUCUUUUGUCACCCUCAAGGUAAAGGCAUCUCUUGAAAAUACUUGAUUUGGUUAUCAAGCACUAAAAAAGCAGUAACUUCAACAUGUGUGAUACUUUUCAAAUCCAUUCAAAAUAGAAAAUAAGAAAUGAGCUUAAAGACUCAUAUGUAAGAUGAUAUGGAAAACGAAAGAAUCAGGUUUGUCUAACACAGAACUUGGUGUGUCCCACUUAGUGGUGGCUUUAGGAGCCAGGGAGGUAAGAUUAAGAACUCCUGUUGGUAUGAAAGUUGAAAAGUGCUGCUUGUAUGGUUCUGCUGCUAGUUAUUUUAAUUUAAUUUUUUACAUAUUCUUCUUUGCCUUGACACAUGUUUUGACUUCUCUAUUGGCCUUACAUUUUUUUGUUUUGUUUUGUUUUCUGGAUUGCCUAUCCAUAAGACCAGGACACUCUACUAUAUUAAAACAUGAAUAAGUUGAUGACUGUUCUUUUCAGAGGCUUGUUUUUCCUUCUCUAUUGCAUCAGAUUCUUGGCAUAGCCUAUAGUUUGGCCAAAGCAAUCCAUUCUAGUGUUCCUGUGUUUAGCUUGUUAAACAUAUUGGCUCUUCAUACUUGGGGCUGUGGAACUAAGUCCAGAAUUAGUUACAUAUUUAUAAACAUUACUCUGCUGAUUCAACAAUACAACAGCAUUACAGGAGGUAUUCCCACCCACUCCUAUGUCCCAACCCAAAUAAAACAUAAAACACUAUAACAAAAUAAUCUUUAGAUAAAAAUCAGGAAGCACAAAAGGAACCUGAAGUUGAUGAUUUGGGUGUCCCUACGUUUGUUCAGUGUCACCUGAUUGCAGUCCUAUUGUUCUUAUUGACACUUGUGAUCCAUAAAGAGCUAAACUUCGCAAAGGCCUAUCUGCUAAAGUCAGGUAAGACACAUUGCAGGGGCUUAAAACUUUCCCACUUACAAAAUGAUAGGGAAGAGAACGAGAAAACAAGGAAUGUUUAACACAGAACAGGUAGGUAACUAAUCUUCAAAAUGCUUUUUCAAGGCAGUCUAAAAAUGAUCUCCAAGCAUAAAAUGUGAGAUGCCUGUUAGAAGUAGAGUAUUAACAACUUGGUUCAAUAGGAUUGUGGAUUGGGUAAUACCUGCAUGACCACUGAAAGGAUCACACCCCACUUCUAAACACUGUUCAUCUUUUUAUUGAAUAUUCUGGUAAAUAUUUCACAUUAAUACAGGCUACAUUAAGUAGAGCCACUAUAUGACAAGAAAUUUACUCAACUUUUUCCUUUUAAGUAUGUAAACAAUUGUACAUGUAUUUACCACCCUAAAAGGUUGAAACAUGUAAUCAUCUAAUUCUCUUCUGCAUACAAGUAGCAUUCAGUAUGUUUAGCCAAAGCACUAAGUUCAAAAUGGCUAAACUAACCAGAGAACAUAAUCAGGUGGAUAGGAAAUCACUUUGUUCUUAUACAAUGGGCAAUCAAAUUUCCAUUGCUAAGCCUCAGAGAGAAUUUCUUAGUUAGGCACAUUAAAAAAAAAAAAAAAAUCCCCAGGGUUCUUCCAAG